GCACCCGUAGCUCAGCUGGAUAGAGCGCCGCCCUCCGAAGGCGGAGGCCACAGGUUCGAAUCCUGUCGGGUGCGCCA
rnacentral:tRNA from 7 species